rnacentral:rRNA from 1 species
GAUGAACGCUGGCGGCGUGCCUAAUACAUGCAAGUCGAGCGAACAGACGAGGAGCUUGCUCCUCUGACGUUAGCGGCGGACGGGUGAGUAACACGUGGAUAACCUACCUAUAAGACUGGGAUAACUUCGGGAAACCGGAGCUAAUACCGGAUAAUAUAUUGAACCGCAUGGUUCAAUAGUGAAAGACGGUUUUGCUGUCACUUAUAGAUGGAUCCGCGCCGCAUUAGCUAGUUGGUAAGGUAACGGCUUACCAAGGCAACGAUGCGUAGCCGACCUGAGAGGGGGAUUCGCCACAAUGGAAAUGAGACACGGUCCAGGCUCCUACGGGAGGCAGGAGGAGGGAAUCUUCCGCAAUGGGGGAAAGCCUGACGGAGCAACGCCGGGGGAGGGAAGGAGGUCUUCGGAUCGUAAAACCCUGUUAUUAGGGAAGAACAAAUGUGUAAGUAACUAUGCACGUCUUGACGGUACCUAAUCAGAAAGCCACGGCUAACUACGU